CAAGUGGUAGGAGAGCGUUCUAUUUGCGUCGAAGGUAUACCGACAAGGAGUGCUGGAGCGAAUAGAAGUGAGCAUGCAGGCAUGAGUAGCGAUAAUUAAUGUGAGAAUCAUUAACGCCGUAAACCCAAGGUUUCCUACGCGAUGCUCGUCAUCGUAGGGUUAGUCGGGUCCUAAGCUGAGUCCGAAAGGGGUAAGCGAUGGCAAAUAGGUUAAUAUUCCUAUACCAACAUUAGUGUGCGAUGGAAGGACGCUUAGGGCUAAGGGGGCUAGCGGAUGGAAGUGCUAGUCUAAGGUCGUAGGUGCUUACACAGGCAAAUCCGUGUAAGAAUACACCGAGAACUGAAAGGCUUUUCAAAGUCUUCGGACAGCGAGAAGAACCCCUGAUGCCGUCGAGCCAAGAAAAGUUUCUAAGUUUAGCUAAUGUUGCCCGUACCGUAAACCGACACAGGUGGGUGGGAUGAGUAUUCUAAGGCGCGUGGAAGAACUCUCUUUAAGGAACUCUGCAAAAUAGCACCGUAUCUUCGGUAUAAGGUGUGCCUCCCUUUGUAUUAGGAUUUACUCCGAAAGCAAAGAAGGUUACAACAAAGAGUCCCUCCCGACUGUUUACCAAAAACACAGCACUCUGCUAACUCGUAAGAGGAUGUAUAGGGUGUGACGCCUGCCCGGUGCUCGAAGGUUAAUUGAUGGGGUUAGCAUUAGCGAAGCUCUUGAUCGAAGCCCGAGUAAACGGCGGCCGUAACUAUAACGGUCCUAAGGUAGCGAAAUUCCUUGUCGGUUAAAUACCGACCUGCAUGAAUGGCGUAACGAGAUGGGAGCUGUCUCAAAGAGGGAUCCAGUGAAAUUGUAGUGGAGGUGAAAAUUCCUCCUACCCGCGGCAAGACGGAAAGACCCCGUGGACCUUUACUACAGCUUGACACUGCUAUUUGGAUAAGAAUGUGCAGGAUAGGUGGGAGGCUUUGAGUAUAUGACGCCAGUUGUAUAUGAGCCAUUGUUGAGAUACCACUCUUUCUUAUUUGGGUAGCUAACCAGCUUGAGUUAUCCUCAAGUGGGACAAUGUCUGGUGGGUAGUUUGACUGGGGCGGUCGCCUCCCAAAUAAUAACGGAGGCUUACAAAGGUUGGCUCAUAGCGGUUGGAAAUCGCUAGUAGAGUAUAAAGGUAUAAGCCAGCUUAACUGCAAGACAUACAAGUCAAGCAGAGACGAAAGUCGGUCUUAGUGAUCCGGUGGUUCUGUGUGGAAGGGCCAUCGCUCAAAGGAUAAAAGGUACCCCGGGGAUAACAGGCUGAUCUCCCCCAAGAGCUCACAUCGACGGGGAGGUUUGGCACCUCGAUGUCGGCUCAUCGCAUCCUGGGGCUGGAGCAGGUCCCAAGGGUAUGGCUGUUCGCCAUUUAAAGCGGUACGCGAGCUGGGUUCAGAACGUCGUGAGACAGUUCGGUCCCUAUCUGCCGUGGGCGUAAGAAGAUUGAAGAGAUUUGACCCUAGUACGAGAGGACCGGGUUGAACAAACCACUGGUGUAGCUGUUGUUCUGCCAAGAGCAUCGCAGCGUAGCUAAGUUUGGAAAGGAUAAACGCUGAAAGCAUCUAAGCGUGAAGCCAACUCUAAGAUGAAUCUUCUCUAAGCUCUCUAGAAGACGACUAGUUUGAUAGGCUGGGUGUGUAAUGGAUGAAAGUCCUUUAGCUGACCAGUACUAAUAGAGCGUUUGGCUUAUCUUAAA
rnacentral:rRNA from 1 species